rnacentral:rRNA from 1 species
ACUCCUACGGGAGGCAGCAGUGGGAAUAUUGCACAAUGGGGAAGCCCAUCGAUGCAGCCAUGCCGCGCUGUGUGAAGAAGGCCAAUUCGGGGCUUGGUUAAAGACACUUUUCAGUAGGGAGGAAGGUAGUGUAGUUAACACCUGCACUAUUUGACGUUACCUACAGAAGAAGCACCGGCUAACUCCGUGCCAGCAGCCGCGGUAAUACGGAGGGUGCGAGCGUUAAUCGGAAUUACUGGGCGUAAAGCGCAUGCAGGCGGCCUGUUAAGUCAGAUGUGAAAGCCCGGGCUU